UGAUGUGAUCGUUGGAAGUUUGAGAGGAUCUGACCUUAGUACGAGAGGACCGGGUCGGACGUACCUCUGGUGUAUCUGUUGUGGCGCCAGCUGCAUUGCAGAGUAGCUAUGUACGGACAAGAUAAGCGCUGAAAGCAUCUAAGCACGAAACUUACCUCAAGAUGAGACUUCCUUUAAGGGCCGUAGAAGACUACUACGUUGAUAGGCUACAGAUGUAAAGGCAGUAAUGUCAUAGUCGAGUAGUACUAAUUACCCGUAAGCUUAGAUUUU
rnacentral:ncRNA from 1 species